rnacentral:rRNA from 1 species
AUACGGAGGGGGCUAGCGUUGUUCGGAAUUACUGGGCGUAAAGCGCGCGUAGGCGGGUUGGCAAGUUGCAGGUGAAAUCCCAGGGCUCAACCCUGGAACUGCCUCCAAAACUGCCAGUCUUGAGUUCGGAAGAGGUGAGUGGAAUUCCUAGUGUAGAGGUGAAAUUCGUAGAUAUUAGGAAGAACACCAGUGGCGAAGGCGACUCACUGGUCCGAUACUGACGCUGAGGUGCGAAAGCGUGGGGAGCAAACAGGAUUAGAUACCCCAGUAGUCC